rnacentral:rRNA from 1 species
AUGAACGCUGGCGGCGUGCCUAAUACAUGCAAGUCGGGCGAACAGACGAGGAGCUUGCUCCUCUGACGUUAGCGGCGGACGGGUGAGUAACACGUGGAUAACCUACCUAUAAGACUGGGAUAACUUCGGGAAACCGGAGCUAAUACCGGAUAAUAUAUUGAACCGCAUGGUUCAAUAGUGAAAGACGGUUUUGCUGUCACUUAUAGAUGGAUCCGUGCCGCAUUAGCUAGUUGGUAAGGUAACGGCUUACCAAGGCGACGAUGCGUAGCCGACCUGAGAGGGUGAUCGGCCACACUGGAACUGAGACACGGUCCAGACUCCUACGGGAGGCAGCAGUAGGGAAUCUUCCGCAAUGGGCGAAAGCCUGACGGAGCAACGCCGCGUGAGUGAUGAAGGUCUUCGGAUCGUAAAACUCUGUUAUUAGGGAAGAACAAAUGUGUAAGUAACUAUGCACGUCUUGACGGUACCUAAUCAGAAAGCCACGGCUAACUACGUG